rnacentral:rRNA from 1 species
AGCGAACGUUUGCGGCGGGCUUAACACAUGCAAGUCGAACGAGAAUCCCUUCGGGGAGGAAAGUGGCGCACGGGUGCGUAACACGUGGAUAACCAACCCAUUGGUUUGGGACAACACCGGGAAACUGGUGCUAAUACCAGAUGUGUCGCAGCUGUCUUCAGGCGGUCGCGAGAAAGGCCCGCAAGGGUCGCCAACGGACGGGUCCGCGUCCCAUCAGCUAGUUGGUGAGGUAAUGGCUCACCAAGGCAAAGACGGGUAGCUGGUCUGAGAGGAUGAUCAGCCACACUGGAACUGAGACACGGUCCAGACUCCUACGGGAGGCAGCAGUGGGGAAUAUUGCGCAAUGGGCGAAAGCCUGACGCAGCCACGCCGCGUGAGCGAUGAAGGUCUUCGGAUCGUAAAGCUCUGUGGGGGGAGAAGAAGAAAGCCGGUGAAGAGCCGGCCCUGACGGUAUCCCCUUAGCAAGCACCGGCUAACUCCGUGCCAGCAGCCGCGGUAAUGU